rnacentral:rRNA from 1 species
GACGAACGCUGGCGGCGUGCUUAACACAUGCAAGUCGAACGGAAAGGCCCUGCUUUUGUGGGGUGCUCGAGUGGCGAACGGGUGAGUAACACGUGAGUAACCUGCCCUUGACUUUGGGAUAACUUCAGGAAACUGGGGCUAAUACCGGAUAGGAGCUCCUGCUGCAUGGUGGGGGUUGGAAAGUUUCGGCGGUUGGGGAUGGACUCGCGGCUUAUCAGCUUGUUGGUGGGGUAGUGGCUUACCAAGGCUUUGACGGGUAGCCGGCCUGAGAGGGUGACCGGCCACAUUGGGACUGAGAUACGGCCCAGACUCCUACGGGAGGCAGCAGUGGGGAAUAUUGCACAAUGGGCGGAAGCCUGAUGCAGCAACGCCGCGUGCGGGAUGACGGCCUUCGGGCUGUAAACCGCUUUCGCCUGUGACGAGGCGUGAGUGACGGUAAUGGGUAAAGAAGCACCGGCUAACUACGUGCCAGCAGCCGCGGUGAUACGUAGGGUGCGAGCGUUGUCCGGAUUUAUUGGGCGUAAAGGGCUCGUAGGUGGUUGAUCGCGUCGGAAGUGUAAUCUUGGGGCUUAACCCUGAGCGUGCUUUCGAUACGGGUUGACUUGAGGAAGGUAGGGGAGAAUGGAAUUCCUGGUGGAGCGGUGGAAUGCGCAGAUAUCAGGAGGAACACCAGUGGCGAAGGCGGUUCUCUGGGCCUUUCCUGACGCUGAGGAGCGAAAGCGUGGGGAGCGAACAGGCUUAGAUACCCUGGUAGUCCACGCUGUAAACGGUGGGUACUAGGUGUGGGGUCCAUUCCACGGGUUCCGUGCCGUAGCUAACGCUUUAAGUACCCCGCCUGGGGAGUACGGCCGCAAGGCUAAAACUCAAAGGAAUUGACGGGGCCCCGCACAAGCGGCGGAGCAUGCGGAUUAAUUCGAUGCAACGCGUAGAACCUUACCUGGGUUUGACAUGGAUCGGGAGUGCUCAGAGAUGGGUGUGCCUCUUUUGGGGUCGGUUCACAGGUGGUGCAUGGCUGUCGUCAGCUCAUGUCGUGAGAUGUUGGGUUAAGUCCCGCAACGAGCGCAACCCUUGUUCACUGUUGCCAGCACGUUAUGGUGGGGACUCAGUGGAGACCGCCGGGGUCAACUCGGAGGAAGGUGGGGAUGACGUCAAGUCAUCAUGCCCCUUAUGUCCAGGGCUUCACGCAUGCUACAAUGGCUGGUACAGAGAGUGGCGAGCCUGUGAGGGUGAGCGAAUCUCGGAAAGCCGGUCUCAGUUCGGAUUGGGGUCUGCAACUCGACCUCAUGAAGUCGGAGUCGCUAGUAAUCGCAGAUCAGCAACGCUGCGGUGAAUACGUUCCCGGG